GACGAACGCUGGCGGCGUGCUUAACACAUGCGAGUCGAACGGAAAGGCCCUGCUUGCCGGGUACUCGAGUGGCGAACGGGUGAGUAACACGUGGGUGAUCUGCCCUGCACUUCGGGAUAAGCCUGGGAAACUGGGUCUAAUACCGGAUAGGAGCCAUUUUUAGUGUGAUGGUUGGAAAGUUUUUUCGGUGUAGGAUGAGCUCGCGGCCUAUCAGCUUGUUGGUGGGGUAAUGGCCUACCAAGGCGGCGACGGGUAGCCGGCCUGAGAGGGUGGACGGCCACAUUGGGACUGAGAUACGGCCCAGACUCCUACGGGAGGCAGCAGCGGGGAAUAUUGCACAAUGGGCGCAAGCCUGAUGCAGCGACGCCGCGUGGGGGAUGACGGCCUUCGGGUUGUAAACUCCUUUCGCUAGGGACGAAGCUUUUUGUGACGGUACCUAGAUAAGAAGCACCGGCUAACUACGUG
rnacentral:rRNA from 1 species